rnacentral:rRNA from 1 species
GGUCUGAGAGGAUGAUCCGCCACACUGGGACUGAGAGACGGCCCAGACUCCUACGGGAGGCAGCAGUGGGGAAUUUUGGACAAUGGGCGCAAGCCUGAUCCAGCCAUGCCGCGUGUCUGAAGAAGGCUUUCGGGUUGUAAAGGACUUUUGUCAGGGAGGAAAUUCCUAGCGCUAAUAUCGCUGGGGGAUGACAGUACCUGAAGAAUAAGCACCGGCUAACUACGUGCCAGCAGCCGCGGUAAUACGUAGGGUGCAAGCGUUAAUCGGAAUUACUGGGCGUAAAGCGUGCGCAGGCGGUUGUGUAAGUCUGAUGUGAAAGCCCCGGGCUCAACCUGGGAACUGCAUUGGAGACUG